UACGUAGGGGGCAAGCGUUGUCCGGAUUUAUUGGGCGUAAAGGGCGCGUAGGCGGCCUUUCAAGUGACGGGUGAAAUCCCUCGGCUUAACCGAGGAACUGCCUGUCAGACUGGAAGGCUUGAGACCGGGAGAGGUGAGUGGAAUUCCCAGUGUAGCGGUGAAAUGCGAAGAUAUUGGGAGGAACACCAGUGGCGAAGGCGGCUCACUGGACCGGUACUGACGCUGAGGCGCGAAAGCGUGGGGAGCAAACAGG
rnacentral:rRNA from 1 species